AUGGGUUUGAUUGUCUCAAUAUUCAACAUUGGCUGCGCCAUAGGCGGAAUUGUCUUGUCAAAAGUCGGUGAUAUAUAUGGUCGUCGUAUUGGAUUGAUUACAGUUACUGCCAUUUACGUUGUAGGCAUCCUAAUCCAAAUAACCUCCAUAAACAAGUGGUACCAAUACUUCAUUGGAAGAAUUAUUUCUGGCAUAGGAGUGGGAGGAAUUGCUGUCCUUUCCCCAAUGUUGAUAUCUGAAGUUGCUCCCAAACAUAUCAGGGGAACCCUGGUCCAAUUGUACCAGCUGAUGGGUACGAUGGGUAUUUUUCUAGGUUACUGUACCAAUUACGGUACCAAGAACUAUCACAACGCCACUCAAUGGAGAGUCGGCCUUGGUCUUUGCUUUGCCUGGGCUACAUUCAUGGUUAGUGGGAUGAUGUUUGUACCAGAAUCACCACGUUACCUGAUCGAAGUUGGUAAAGAUGAGGAAGCGAAACAUUCACUAUCGAAAUCCAACAAAGUCUCAGUUGACGAUCCAGCCUUGUUAGCAGAAUAUGACACUAUAAAGGCGGGAAUUGAAAUUGAAAAGUUGGCAGGUAACGCAUCAUGGUCUGAACUACUCUCCACUAAAACAAAGGUCUUUCAGCGUGUUCUUAUGGGAGUGAUAAUCCAAUCGCUGCAGCAAUUAACCGGUGACAACUACUUCUUUUACUACGGUACCACCAUCUUCAAAUCUGUCGGUCUAAAGGACUCCUUUCAAACUUCGAUCAUCAUUGGUGUGGUCAAUUUUUUCUCUUCAUUCAUAGCGGUAUACACCAUUGAGAGGUUUGGACGCCGUACGUGUCUAUUGUGGGGUGCUGCUUCUAUGCUGUGCUGCUUUGCUGUCUUUGCCUCCGUUGGUGUGACAAAGCUGUGGCCUCAAGGAAGCAGUCACCAAGACAUUACUUCUCAGGGUGCCGGUAACUGUAUGAUUGUGUUUACUAUGUUCUUCAUCUUUUCGUUUGCCACCACCUGGGCGGGCGGCUGUUUCGUUAUUGUGUCAGAGACGUUUCCUCUUAGAGCCAAAUCAAGAGGAAUGGCAAUCGCAACAGCUGCAAACUGGAUGUGGGGUUUCCUGAUUAGUUUCUUUACCCCAUUCAUUACCGGGGCAAUCAACUUUUACUACGGUUAUGUAUUCUUAGGCUGUCUGGUUUUUGCAUACUUUUAUGUCUUUUUCUUUGUCCCAGAAACAAAAGGCUUGACGCUGGAAGAGGUAAAUACUAUGUGGCUGGAAGGUGUGCCAGCAUGGAAAUCGGCCUCAUGGGUGCCACCGGAGAGAAGAACCGCAGAUUACGAUGCUGAUGCAAUAGAUCAUGACAAUAGACCAAUUUACAAGAGGUUCUUUUCCAGCUGA
rnacentral:sRNA from 1 species